AUGAUCUCCAGUGAUUCCAACCAGAAACUGAGCUGGAUGCCUUCAAAGGGUCUGCUGUCCAUGGAGCAUCUCUCAUUGAUGCUGGACUCCUUUAUGAAGGAACUGGUGAUCAGCACUGAACAUAGACCACUCACUGUGGUGCUGGGACUGAGCUGGAUUUUCCUUGUUGCUAUUUUUAAAGGUGUCCAGUGUGAGGUGCAGCCUGGGGGAGGCUUGGUGCAGCUUGGAGGGGCUCUGAAAUUCUCGUGUGCAGCCUCUGUAUUCACCUUCAGUAGACCCAUGGGCUGGGGCCGCCAGCCUCUAGGAAAAGGGCUGGAGUUCAUUGCAUCAAUUAGCAGCAGUGGUGGUAGCACUUACUACGCAGACUCUGUGAAGGGCCGAGUCACCAUCUCCAGAGACAAUAACAAGAACCAGCUGUAUCUGCAAAUGAACAGCCUGAGAGCUGAGGACACAGCCGUGUAUUACUGUGCAAGAGACACAAUGAGAGUCUUCAGUGUGAAUCCAGUCAUAAACCUCUCUGAAGUGCUAUUCUUGACCAGCAGCUGGCGGUCAGCACACACUGAACUCAAGGUCAGUUUUGUGGAGGUGCUGCCAUGA